GAAGAAAAGAAAGCACCAGGAAAGACCCUUUUGUGGGAGAGCAGUUUGGACCAGGAAGGGGGGUGACUGGUGUUUCUGCCCGGCUUUUCCUUUUGGGUAUAACUGUGUCAGCAUACCAAGGAAGAUGAAGAUGGGGAGGGGUAAAGCUGAGAUGGCCUCUUGAAGAUUCUUCCAUCUGAUGGGUAGGUGGAGUAGUAGGUCUGAUGAUCAAGUGUCUGCAAGAUAUAAUAGAGUGGGAUAAGGUGAGGUAGGGUUGGGGGGUGAAGAUAGUCGAGAUACUGCCAGCUCAGGGAAUGACCACACCAAAUCCACAAGUAACCAGCUAUUGCUAUUUAUCCUGUUUGGGGCUCCAGAUGUACCAUAAGUGGGCAGAAUGAAAUAAUUUGGGGCAGUUUCUGGCCUAGAGGAAGCAGCAACCUGAGAGGUCAUGAAGCACCAACUACUGUGUGGCCAAGGACAUGUCUCUACCACUUUUCCCCUCAAGUCAGUUAACAGAACUAUUAUUAGGCUGA